AGACGAACCGUCCAGACGUUAUUCGGAAUUACUGGGCUUAAAGGGUGCGUAGGCGGCUUGGCAAGUUGGGUGUGAAAUCCCACGGCUCAACCGGGGAACUGCGCUCAAAACUGCUUAGCUAGAGGGAGAUAGAGGUGAGCGGAACUAAUGGUGGAGCGGUGAAAUGCGUUGAUAUCAUUAGGAACACCUGUGGCGAAAGCGGCUCACUGGAUCUUUUCUGACGCUGAGGCACGAAAGCUAGGGUAGCGAACGGGAUUAGAAACCCCAGUAGUCC
rnacentral:rRNA from 1 species